UUAAGUUCAGCGGGUAUUCCUACCUGAUCCGAGGUCAACCUUGUUUGGGUCGUCCGUGAGGACCUAUUUUUACGGCCGGUUAAUCUCCACCGCGACAAUCCUAAGCGAGAAUUUUACUACUGCGCUCGGAGCCGCGGCGGGUCCGCCACUGUCUCUGAGGGCCUCCCGCGAGGGAGAGCCCCGACGCCAGGCACCAGGGC
rnacentral:misc_RNA from 1 species